rnacentral:rRNA from 1 species
UUGGCCUACGGGGGGCAGCAGUGGGGAAUAUUGCACAAUGGGGGAAACCCUGAUGCAGCGACGCCGCGUGAGUGAAGAAGUAUUUCGGUAUGUAAAGCUCUAUCAGCAGGGAAGAAGAAAGACGGUACCUGACUAAGAAGCCCCGGCUAACUACGUGCCAGCAGCCGCGGUAAUACGUAGGGGGCAAGCGUUAUCCGGAUUUACUGGGUGUAAAGGGAGCGUAGACGGCAGCGCAAGUCUGGAGUGAAAUGCCGGGGCCCAACCCCGGAACGGCUUUGGAAACCGUGCAGCUCGAGUGCCGGAAG